UAAGUGCCUAACCAAUGUUCCCUUAUUGAUACCAUAAUUCAAUAAUCAAACCAAAACCACAUUUCGUACCAAAAUAAUUUGCAUUCAAAGUUCACAAGUUCAUACAUUAACACAUGCCAAACUUACCAUUUCAUCCAAUCCAUUCAUAUCUACUUCUACCAUAACCUAUUCAUUCACAAAUAGUAUAAACCAAAAUGACCAAAC
rnacentral:lncRNA from 1 species